CUGGGUACGACGCUAGGACAUAUGGAACCCGAAACCACUCUCCAAGAGAAUCCUAAGCAAAAAGAACAAAGCUGGAGGCAUCACGCUACCUGACUUCAAACUAUACUACAAGGCUAUAGUAACCAAAACAGCAUGGUACUGGUACCAAAACAGAGAUAUAGACCAAUGGAACAGAACAGAGUCCUCAGAAAUAAUACCACACAUCUACAGCCAUCUGAUCUUUGAGGAAAAUGUUUUCUUGCUCAUGUAAUACAGUAGUAUCGGUGAAUGGGUCGGUGGGGCAGCCUUUCUUCACGCAGUCAUUCAGAACUCAGGAUAAUGAACACUCUGUCAUUCUUAAUAAGGCUUCCAAGACUUGGAGCUAAAGAAGCUGUCAACCUAGAAGUACCAAUGGACACUGACAAAACAAUAAACAAAUCUCCAACAGAAGCCUGUUCUCUAGCCAAAAAUUCAAGACAGUCUUGAGAAGACUAGCAAGACAGAAAACUUUUUAGACAAUAACAGCUCUACUCCAGCCAGCCACAACUAUCACAAAACAACUGCGGCUCUACCCCACCCACAGCAAAGGCCAAGUGGGGAAGCCAAGCUUUCCACUCAUGCCUGACUGUGACAAGGCACUCACCCUCCCUUCCAGGGUAAUGUCUGGGAAAGCUGAGUAAGGAGUUGGUAGUUUUAUUCCCACUGGGUGGUAAGGAGUCCACCUUACUGUUAACAGAGUCCACAGGACUUUAGUAGUGUUGGUAGUUGUGGUGUUAUUAUUAGUAGAGGCCAUCUAGGGAACCAUGACAAGGCACUCAUAUCCAUCCCAGUCAGUGAGUUACCAGCAGACACGUAGUGUGGAGUUGGAACUCCCAACCCUGCCUAGCAGUUGAAGACGGGCUCCCUGCUACAACUUGAGAGUCAACAGAGGCCAAGUAAGGAGCCUGGAGACCUGGGCAUUUAUCCCACAGAAACAAAACUUAUAUCUAACCAAAAGGUUACACAAAAAUAUGUGUAGUAGUUUUAAUUAUAAUAACCAGUAACUGGAAACAACCCAGAUGUCCUUCAAAAAGUGAAUGGUUAAGCAAACUGUGGUACCUCCAUUUCUUGGGAAAUUACUCAGUAAUUUAAAAAAAAAUUGUUAAUGCAACAACCUAGAUGACUCUUCAGAGAUUUGUGCUGAGUGAAAAAAGCAAUCCCAAAGGUUGUAUCUUGUACUUCCAUUUAUAUAUUAUUCCUGAAAUGACAAAACUGCAGAAAUGUAGAACAAAUUAGUGGCUGCCAGGUGUUAAGGAGAAGGGGAAAAUAAGAGAAAAAUGUGUGCAGCUAUAAAAGUGCAACAUGAGGGAUCCUUGUGGUAGUGAAAAUAUUCAGUGUCUUGAUUAUAUCAAUAUCAACAUGUUACUUGUGAUUUUGUGUUGUUUGAUUUUUUUUUUGGCAUUGUUAUAGUUUUUCCGUUGAUGGAUAUUGGGUGAAUGGCCCAUGAGAUAUAUCUGUAUUAUUUCUUCCAAUUGCGUGUGAAUCUACAAUUAUCUAAAAAUUAAAAUGUUAAUUAAAAAUGGAGCUCAUUGAGUGUUUUUUCUAUUUUUCAAAAAGUAUCAAUAUAGGAAUUGAUUAGAAGUUAGAACCUGGAGGAGGACCAAAUAGAAGACCAAAAUUAAGUUAUCAGUCAUUAGUCCCUCCCUCUUAGGAAAAUCAGCUCAUUAUGAGUAUUUAAAUACUUAUUUCAUUAAUCAUAGUAUUUCAUAAGAACAGUUGACUGGUGUUAGCAAUGUAGAUUUGUAGAGCUACCACAUUCCAAGGUAUGACUGUCCUUUACCAGAAAGAGCUCAAUCCUCCCCCAUGAUGAGAUUUCCUGCUAUGUAGAGCUCAAAGACCAGUGAAAUGGGAAUAGUGAU
ensembl:lncRNA